rnacentral:lncRNA from 1 species
AACCCUGUGUUACUUAAGUCAAUUGGAAUAUGUGAUGAUAGAGUAUGAGUUUCUUAUUCUUGAUAUCAUUGUUGCUUGGAGAAUUUAUUUCAAAAUAUUCAAAUUUCUAGCUACCAUCCUCAGUGUUUUAUAUGCCUGAUAAAACUGAAAAUAUUAAUUAUGAUUAUAAAAGCUAUCUGCUCUGUAUUGAGUUUGUUCAAAAUGAGUUAGACCCUUGUUGAGAGAUUUAUCAUGCUCCUAAGAUCAAGACAUUAUUUCAGUAAGAUUCACUCUUCCGAAGUAUUAUUGCAUUAGAGGCAUGGGCUAUGCAAAAAUAGAAAUAUUUCGAGGAAAUAAAAAGGAGCAAGUGCUCGACAACCUCGCAGAAAAAUGGACAAGUGUCCGGC